rnacentral:misc_RNA from 1 species
UAAGGCAAACAGCUGGUAUCAUCCGGCCUUGCCAUAUUAGGUUUGUCCUGUGAAAGUGGAGGGGGUCGGUCGGCCGGGCCGGGGGGCCGAGUGCACUCACUCGCUAGUUGACUCUCGCCCAGUGAACACCCUCACACUCGCCGCUCUCGUGGCCUUCCUCCCCCUCUGGAUAACCCCCCAGUGUUUUAGCAGUCUAUAGUAUGGCGUACCACGGUCCCUCCUACGGCCUCAGCAGGGAGUGUCAGAUGAAGAGCCAGGCCAAGUUCGACCUGCAGCGUGCCCGGGAGGCGUGUGAGUGGGUGGAGGCGGUGACGGAGGUGCCCCUGGACUGGCCCACCUCCGACGGCCUCAUCGACCAGCUGGCCUUCGGGCACGCCCUUAAGGACGGCAUCGCCCUCUGCACGUUGCUGAACCACCUUCAACCUGGCUCUGUCAAGAGAGUGAACACAAUGAAGGCUCCCUUCAAACAGAGAGAGAACGUCGAGAUGUUCCUGAAGGGCUGUGAGGCUUACGGCCUCAAGAGUCAAGACCUCUUCCAAGUGAACGACCUCUACGAGAACCGGAACCUCUACAUGGUUGUGGACUGUCUGUAUGCUCUAGGAGGACUCGCCCAAAAAAGGAGCUUCGAUGGACCUGUGAUAGGUGUGAAGGUUGCCAUGGAGAACAAGAGGAACUUUUCGGAGGAGAAGCUAAAAGAGUCGCACAAGAUCAUUGGGCUACAGUAUGGCAGUAAUAAGGGAGCAUCGCAGGCGGGUAUGACGGCGUAUGGCACUGGAAGGCAAAUCAUCCCUGGAGAAGCCCAAAAGCAAGUGACAGUGGAUGGCCAGAAAAUCAUUGGCCUUCAGUCUGGGAGCAACAAAGGGGCGUCGCAGGCUGGCAUGACACCUUAUGGAGCUCCUCGUCAAAUUAUCCCUGAUGGUCAUCACAGGAAUCGUGAGUGAAGGCUCCUGCUCCACAGGAAGCACAGAUAUGAGUGGACAGGCAUCAGUCCUUGUUCAGUUGUGAUAUCUGCUCUAAUACAAAGCUCAAAGCAAAUAUCACCCUGAAGACUGAAGCAAUGGCGUAUAUGUGCUGCAUAGAACUAGAAAUCAAUUUUCAAAUAUUGGUUCUGUUUUGCAUUUAAGUUAUUGGCAUCCUAAAUGGUAUCUAGGAACUCUUGAAUAUUCUGUAACAUACAGUGCUAUAUAGCUUUCUAUGCUUAGCACUUUCUUUUGAUAAUUACUUGCAUUUAAGUCAGAAUUUUGUACAUUGUUACAAAUUCCAUGAGAGAUUGGGGGUUUGUUAGGCUUGGCAAGAAGAUUCCAGCUGACUCUUCGUGUUGAGGGUUCGUCAGUAUCCAGUCAAAAUGGUUGUUUCUUUAGAUAUUAUAUAUACUAGCAAGUCUUCAAUCCACAUCCUGACUGAUAAUGUCUUUCAUUGGAAUUUUUAACGUGUAUAUAAUAUUACUGUGUUCCCGAGUCCAUUUAUAUUGAAUAAAUGUAUAUUUUUGUUUUAAACAGCCAGAAGACUUUAUUUGCUUUAAUUGCAUUACCUGUAAUUGAACUGUUUAACUUUUAGUAAUUUUUAAUAUUACCUUCAUUACAACAAAAAUGUAUAACGGUAGGUAUAGCACAUGAUUUAUAUUUUCAGUUCUGUACAAUUGUUUCAUAUCAUUAGCAUUAUACUAUUCUAAUUGGUUAAAAGGGGUUAUCACAUUUAAAUGAACAUAAUAUUAAUUACUAGUGUUAAGUCUUGAAGAGUCUUCUAUCAUAAGAUUUUUAUAAUGCCCUAAAAUUUUACUAAUGAAAGUUAAGUGUUUUUACUGUGGUUCUCAAUAAACAUUUGGCUGGUA